AGCUUCAUCAGUUUCUCAGAGAUGAAGAAGAAGCUACAAUCACUGCACUGAGAGAGGAAGAGGAGCAGAAGAAGCAGAUGAUGAAGGAGAAGCUGGAGGAGAUGAACACACACAUCUCAGCUCUUUCACACACAAUCAAAGACACGGAGGAGAUGAUGAAAGACAGUGACAUCUGCUUUCUGAAGAAGUUUCCAGUCUCGAUGGAAAGAGUCCAGAUCUCAUCACAGCCGGAUCCACAGACUCCUUCUGGAGCUCUGAUU